CAAACACCACACCAGGAACAAAUACAACUACAGUGUCUACAACAGCUUCAACUACACCUGUGAAUGCUACAACACCAAUGAUGACUACCCCUACAAACGCAACCACAGCAAAUCUUACAAACACCACACCAGGAACAAAUACAACUACAGUGUCUACAACAGCUUCAACUACACCUGUGAAUGCUACAACACCAAUCAUCACUACCCCAACAAACGCAUCCACAGUUACUCCUACAACCACUACAACUGUAAGAACUACAACUAUUGAGGCUGUUACAACAAAGCAGUUGCAGUUCAGAGAUGUUGGAGCAACAUUUACACCUGACUUAGAGAACUCAUCAUCUUCAGCAUUUACAGAAAGAGCCAGACAGACAGUGUUAACACUCGAACCUUUCUACAAGACAUUUCCUUCAUUCCGCUCAAUGAGAGUGAUCAGAUUCAGAAAUGGAUCCAUCAUCAGUGACGUUGAUAUUGACUUUGCAUCUAUAUCAGUGCCUAAUAACACUGAGAUUGAAAAUGUUUUGAUCAAUGCAGCUCCAAACAUAACGACCUUCAACAUUAGCACAGAGUCUGUUAUUGUCAGUGACCCAGUGGUUUUACCUACAACUGUGAGCACUACAACACCAAUGAUGACUACCCCUACAAACGCAACCAUAGCAACUCUUACAAACACCACACCAGGAACAAAUACAACUACAGUGUCUACAACAGCUUCAACUACACCUGUGAAUGCUAUAACACCAAUGAUGACUACCCCUACAAACGCAACCACAGCAAAUCUUACAAACACCACACCAGGAACAAAUACAACUACAGUGUCUACAACAGCUUCAACUACACCUGUGAAUGCUACAACACCAAUGAUGACUACCCCUACAAACGCAACCACAGCAAAUCUUACAAACACCACACCAGGAACAAAUACAACUACAGUUUCUACAACAGCUUCAACUACACCUGUGAAUGCUACAACACCAAUGAUGACUACCCCUACAAACGCAACCAUAGCAAAUCUUACAAACACCACACCAGGAACAAAUACAACUACAGUGUCUACAACAGCUUCAACUACACCUGUGAAUGCUACAACACCAAUGAUGACUACCCCUACAAACGCAACCAUAGCAAAUCUUACAAACACCACACCAGGAACAAAUACAACUACAGUGUCUACAACAGCUUCAACUACACCUGUGAAUGCUACAACACCAAUCAUCACUACCCCAACAAACGCAUCCACAGUUACUCCUACAACCACUACAGCUGUAAGAACUACAACUAUUGAGGCUGUUACAACAAAGCAGUUGCAGUUCAGAGAUGUUGGAGCAACAUUUACACCUGACUUAGAGAACUCAUCAUCUUCAGCAUUUACAGAAAGAGCCAGACAGACAGUGUUAACAAAAUGGAUCCAUCAUCAGUGACGUUAAUAUUGACUUUGCAUCUAUAUCAGUGCCUAAUAACACUGAGAUUGAAAAUGUUUUGAUCAAUGCAGUUUCAAACAUAACGACCUUCAACAUUAGCAAAGAGUCUGUUAUUGUCAGUGACCCAGCGACUCCUACAACCACUUUGACUGCAACAACUACAACUACAGCGACUCCUACAACCACUACAACUGCAGCAACUACAACUGCAGCAACUGCAACUACAGCAACUCCCACAACCACUAAAGCUGUAACAACUACAACUGCUGAGCCAGUACAAAAAAAGGCAGUGCAAUUCAGAUCUGUUAAUGGGAUAUUUAUAACUGACUUGCUGACAUCAUCAUCCACAGCUUUUAAAGAACGAGCUUCACUGAUAGAGACAGCACUUAAACCUUUCUACCUGGCCAGAUUUCCUUCAUUCCGCUCCAUCAAUGUGACUGCAUUCAGUAAGGGAUCCAUUAUCAAUAACAUGGACAUUGGAUUUGCAAUGUCACUGGUCCCUAAUGCAAAAGAGAUUGCACAAGUUUUGAUUGAUGCAGCCAAGAUAACACCCUUCGACAUUGAUAUCAGUUCUAUUCUUGUGGACGGCAUAUUGUCACAUGGAGUGAGCCACAAGAUCAGUCUCCUCACUGCUUCCUGUAUGGUGCUGCUGUCAUGGCUCCUGUCAGGCCAGCAAUAACAUCUGCGCUGAUGCUCUUGUGAAAUAACUUGAGGAAAUGUCUCCUGUGACUGGGUAUGAAAAAGGACUUUGUUCCAACUGAAAAUCCACGAGGAGCUUCUGAUGAAGAGCAAUCAUACCAUGAUUUAGAAGUAGCUAAAACUGAAAUUAACCUUUAUGUUAUCUAUCAAUAUAAACUUUAACAUAAUUUCCAACAAAGGUGUCAUUGGUUGUCAAUUUAUAAUGUAAGUCCUGUGAUAAAGUCAUACUGUAAGUUAUUAAUAUCAAUGAGAUCAAGUUUUAAUCCAUGAAGCAUCUCCUCAGCUUCUGACUCUGAGAGUGAAAAAAAAUGAAAGUGAUAAUCAGGAAAUCAUCACCUCACCUGGCAUUCAUGAAAUAUAAGAUGUGUGAAAAUGUCCUCUUUGGUCACCUUUACCAGUCAAUAUUUAAAUAUAUUUCUUGUAUAUAUUGUAUUCUAUUAUUGUAUGUAUUCUGUUUGUAUUGUAUUGGAUAAUUAUGGUAAAAAUUCUAAGUGAUCCUGAUACACACAUUUAAAAUUAUUUAAAGAACUGUCCCUAUAAAAAAAUAUAAUAUUAAUAUCACCUUUUUCUUUCUGAAGCAGGUUCUUCACAAGUCUAUCAUGAUAAACUAAAGAAGCGUCAAUUAAAGACAUUGAACAAAC
ensembl:lncRNA